GCCCAGCUGAAGAGUCCACGCGCUCCCUCCGCCUCUCGCAUCUCCUGACCCGAUCCCGCCAGGUACCGCCGCACCGGUCGUCGCCGGCGCGACGGACUUGAGCGGUGCAUCGCGCCCGGCUGCCGCGGCAAGUGGGCGGAGCAGGAUAGCAGCGGCCGCUCGGCUAAGCAGCCAGCUGAUUCGCUUCCGUCUACUGGCUUUGCUUUCGGGGGAUUUGGGAUCCGGCACCGCACCGGCGGAAAGGGGGUCAGCCAGCCAUGGCGGCGAGGCAGCCGCCACCGUCGUCCGCCUCCGCGCCCACGGGGGGCCUCUCCAUGAAGGAGUACCUCAAGAGGUACCAGUCGGGCCCGGGCGCCGACGGGGACCAGAAGAAGGCGAAGAAGAAGACGAAGAAGAAGCCCAAGCCCGUCGCCGGGGGAGGCGGGGUGCUCAUCGUCGACGAAGACCCCGUGUGGCAGAAGCCCGUACGGCUGGAGGACGACGAGCCCGCGUCGUCAGGUGACGACAGGCCUCUGGUGGAUGAGGACAUCGAGGUCAAGCGGAUGCGCCGCCUGGAGGCAAUACGCGCGGCGCGGCCGUACAACGCAAUUGCGGAGGACGGCAGCGGGUGGGUCACUGUGGCGGCCCUGGAGGAGCAGGGUGGUGGGUCGACCCGCCGCCGCAGGAAUGACACGCCGUCACCGGAGCGGGGAGGUGCUGGGAACAAGGACUUUUCUCCUCCACGUCGGAGGCAGCGGCGUGACACGCCCUCACCUGAGCCUGGUGAUGCUGCUGGGAAGGAAAUCUCGCCACCGAAGCAGAGGCGGAGGCGCCAGGACACACCAUCGCCAAAGGGCAACGGUGCAGCUGAUCAGGAUGACAUGUCACCACCACGAAAGCCUAGGAGGCAACAAGACCCCUCGCCACCGAGGAGACGUGCUAGGCAUGAUUCAGAGGAGCCGCAGGACAUGCCACCACCACGGAGGCGAAUGCGGCAUGAUUCUGAGGAGCCUCAGGACAUGUCACCACCACGAAGGCGUAGGCAUGAUUCAGAGGAGCCCCAAGACAUGUCACCACCACGGAGGCGAAUGAGACAUGAUUCAGAGGAGCCGCAAGACCUCUCUGUGCCACGUCGAAGAGCACGGCAUGACUUAGAGGAGCCCAAAGACUUAUCCCAACCUCGGCGACGGAGACGGCAUGAUUCAGAAGAGCCCGAAGACAUGCCACCACAGAGGAGGAAGUACCAGGACUCUACAAAGGUGGAUGAUCUGUCGCCUCCAAGAAGGAGAAAUAUGGGGCAAAAUCCAGAUUUUUCACCACCAAGGAAGGGUAAGAAGGAAGGAGCCCAAAAACAGGCAAGGAAAGCUGGACUUAUGACAGCAGAGGAAGUUAAAGAGGACAUCAAAAGAUUAAGGAGGAUGAGAUGCUCAAGUUCGCAGCGCAGGAUCCCUCAUUGGUUGGGAAAGGGGCAAAGGCUGUAUUCCGAGAUAAGGAAGGGAAACGGAUAAGUGAAGAAGAGAUGCGCAAGUCAAAGGAAUCUGAAAAGCCGAAGGAAAUACAUAUAGAAUGGGGUAAAGGAUUGGCGCAGAAGCGAGAAGCCGAGGCUAGAUUAAAAGAGCUUGAAGCUGAGAAGAGUAAACCAUUUGCUCGAACAAGGGAUGACCCUGAGCUUGACUCUAUGCUAAAAAACAGAAUCCGAUGGGGUGAUCCUAUGGCUCACCUUGUCAAGAGGAAAGAUCCAGAAUUUCUCCUUGAAGACUUUGGAGACGAUGAAAAGAUGAAAGAAUCUGGUUUCAUAGUUCCCCAAAAUAUACCUAGUUACAGUUGGCUGAAACGUGGAGUAGACCCCCCUCCAAAUCGUUAUGGCAUAAAGCCUGGGCGUCACUGGGAUGGCGUGGAUCGCAGUAAUGGAUUUGAGAAGGACAUGUUCAAGCUAAAGAACGAGAAGCAAGCAAUGGAGCAAGAGGCCUAUCUUUGGUCUGUGUCAGAUAUGUGAUCCCAGCUGCUGUUCCAAGACAUGAAUUCUGAAGGGACUAAUGUGGUCUGAAGGAAGAAACAAAGAGACUAUUCAAACGUUUUUCUUUAAACACACAAAAUGACCACGCUGGUGGGUGCUGUGUUUGCUGGAAAGCCCAAUGAAGCAUUGAUUUUGUUACAUGUAUUUGUUGAAACUUGUUACUACUCGUACUUCUUUUGUUAUCCUUGACAUUUUGUAAUAUAGGUAGACAUACAUGCUGCAAAGACGCAGUUUUUGGACUAGUACAGAAGAUGAGAUUUGGAGUGAAUAGUUUGUCACUUUCUGCUGCUUUCCAUGUGAAUAGUUUGUCUCCGUUUUGAAUCUA